AAGCUAUUUGGCUCCGCGGGAGAGACCUCGGUCCAAAGGGGUCACUCCAAUUAGCUGCUGAUCCAAGCCGGAGCCCGGGGGUCUGGGGCUGCCUCCGCUGCUCACUUCCCAGAGGCGAGGAUUGAAAAACAGUCAGAGGAACAGGCGUUCUCAGAAAACCAGUGGUUGAAUUGGGGAGCGGGUGAUUCCAGUGCUGGAAAAGAAAGUAUUUUGAUUUUCAUGUUAUGGAAUAUGCGUUUUUCCCCUUUCUUCUCUGGCAUUUUUGAGGAGCAGCGUGUCCAGAAUAAGGGAGGUGACGGUUCCAUGGCAUUCUGGGCUGGCUGGUCCACUCUGCUGUGUCCCAGUUGGCUCUAGCCCCCACAGGUAACCUGGACCUUGACAGCUCUCUGGUC